GCCACCAGGGAAGCCCCGAGAAGGACUUUUUAAAUGACAGCAACAACAAUCUCAAUCUCUCCCUAACGGAGUGAGGAUGUCUGAAGGGCUGGGAAGGACUCUGCUCCUGAGAACUGGAGGGUCUCUACGGGCAGCCGUGCCCCGACUCAGCCGGGACAGCUCUCCCCGCCUAGAGUCCCCGGCUGUGCGUCCCCUUUCCACAGGGCCGGCUCUCGGGGGGAGCAAGGCCGGGCACUGGAAGCCAGAGCGGGUUCCAACGUGGCCGGAAGUGGAAAAAGAGGACUGAGGGGCAGUGAGGGCCAUCACGGGGCUGCGGCCACUGCUGCUCAGGCCUCUGACUCUCGGCUUCAGCCACAGACAGAGUAAUAAAGCCACCCCCAGCUUUGCAGCAUCCCCGAGAGUACCAGAGCGUAGAGCCACAGGCCAGUGUCAUCACCCGGAUGGCUCUAGAAGACAGGCCUCGCUGGAGAAGAGGGAGGACGCUGCAAGGUCCGCUGCGUGAUCGCAGGCUUGUCAAGAGCGCUGACUCUGGAGCAGACAGCAUCUGGGCCUUCUGGGAGUCGACCUGCUAAUGCACCAGGUGCCCAGGGAGGCGGUGCUUUGUCCACGAAGGUUUACUCAGGAAGAAAUAGAGGUCAUGUAUGUACCCAGGUCACACAGCUGCCAGUCUUGUAAAAAGUUGUGGAAGACAAUACAGAGACACACCUCCAAGGUGGCUAACGUGAAAAGCACAGGCAGUGUUACAUGCUGGCGUGGAUGCAGAGCUGCUGAUGUGAGUGGAAGCCGGAAGAAGCCACUGGGAAGCUACCUGGCAGCACCUGCUGAGCCGAGCACAGGCGCAGCUGUGUCCCCGCGCCCGUGCUCGCAGAGGGCAGCUGGACACCGAGUCCCGUAACAGCCCCAGACCCGGAACUUCCUAACUGCUCAGCCACCGUGGAUGGACAAAUAGAGGGGUAUUCACAUAACAGUUCACUUUACAUCAAUGACAAUUACACCUACUCGCCCCAUAUGGGUUCAUCUCACAAACAUAAUGCUGAACAAAGAAGCCAGGGGAAAAGUACCUGCUUUAGGAUUUCACUUAUUGAAAGUUCAAAAGCAGAUGAAACGAAUCUAUGAUGGCGUCAGAAGUCAGGAGUGCUCACUCCCGGGGAGAUCGCGACAGAGUGGCUUCCGAGGUGCCGCUCGAGCCCUGUCUCUCAGUCGAGGUGCUGGGUGCAUGGGUGUGUCUGCUUUAGGUACAUCGGCCAGGCUGUACACUGCAUGUCUCAUGCACCUUUCUGGAUGUAUGUGAUACUUCAAAGUUAA